UUUAAAUCUUUAAACCCUAAAACAAGUUUUUAAACCCUAAACUCUAAAUACAAAUUUUAAACUCUAUUUUAACAUCAAAUCUUAAAUUUAACUUCAAAUGUUAGAUAUAAACUCAAAAAUUAAUCAUUUCCAAAAAUUUAUCUCAAAUCUUAAAAUCAAUAUCCCAAACCUUUAACUUUUAAACCAUAUACUCAUACAUUUAUUCUAAACUCAAAAUUUUAAAUAUAAAGUAAUUAAAAAAAAUAUCAACACUAAAUAAAAAUUCAAAAAUUAUUUCUUUUUCAAAAAUUAAUAUUAAAUCAAUACUCUAAACCUUUAAUCCUCAAACCCUAUACUCAAACCUUUAUUCCAAACUCAAAC
rnacentral:lncRNA from 1 species